GAUGAACGCUGGCGGCGUGCUUAACACAUGCAAGUCGAACGAGGUCCAACCUUCGGGUGAAGACCUAGUGGCGAACGGGUGAGUAACACGUGGGGAACCUGCCCUUCUCUCUGGGAUAACGUCGAGAAAUCGGUGCUAAUACCGGAUACUCCUUGCGGAUCGCAUGGUCUGCUCGGGAAAGCUCCGGCGGAGAUGGAGGGCCCCGCGGCGCAUGAGCUAGUUGGUGCGGUAACGGCCCACCAAGGCGACGAGGGGUAGCCGAGCGGAGAGGCGGUUGGGCAACACUGGGGCUGAGACACGGCCCAGACUCCUACGGGAGGCAGCAGUGGGGAAUGUUGCACAAUGGGCGCAAGCGGGAUGCAGCAACGCCGCGUGCGGGAUGAAGGCCGUCGGGUUGUAAACCGCUUUCAGCAGGGACGAAACUGACGGUACCUGCAGAAGAAGCCCCGGCUAACUACGUGCCAGCAGCCGCCGUAAAAC
rnacentral:rRNA from 1 species